rnacentral:rRNA from 1 species
CCUACGGGAGACAGCAGUGAGGAAUAUUGGUCAAUGGGCGUAAGCCUGAACCAGCCAAGUCGCGUGAGGGAUGAAGGUUCUAUGGAUCGUAAACCUCUUGUAUAAGGGAAUAAAGUGUGGGACGUGUCCUGUUUUGUAUGUACCUUAUGAAUAAGGAUCGGCUAACUCCGUGCCCGCAGCCUCGGUAAUACGGAGGAUCCGAGCGUUAGCCGGCUUUAUUGGGUUUAAAGGGUGCGUAGGCGGCCGUUUAAGUCAGCGGUGAAAGUCUGUGGCGCAACCAUAGAAUUGCCGUGGAAACUGGGAGGCUUGAGUAUGUUAGAGGCAGGCGGAAUGCGUGGUGUAGCGGUGAAAUGCUUAGAUAUCACGCAGAACCCCGAUUGCGAAGGCAGCCUGCCAAGCCAUGACUGACGCUGAUGCAUGAAAGCGUGGGGAUCAAACAGGAUUAGAUACCUUUGUAGUC